rnacentral:rRNA from 1 species
GACGAACGCUGGCGGCGUGCUUAACACAUGCAAGUCGAACGAUGAAGCCGGAGCUUGCUCUGGUGAAUUAGUGGCGAACGGGUGAGUAACACGUGGGUAACCUGCCCUUGACUCUGGGAUAACUGCGGGAAACUGUAGCUAAUACCGGAUACGACCCUCGGAGGCAUCUCCUGGGGUGGAAAGAAUUUCGGUCAAGGAUGGACUCGCGGCCUAUCAGCUAGUUGGUGAGGUAAAGGCUCACCAAGGCGACGACGGGUAGCCGGCCUGAGAGGGUGACCGGCCACACUGGGACUGAGGCACGGCCCAGACUCCUACGGGAGGCAGCAGUGGGGAAUAUUGCACAAUGGGCGCAAGCCUGAUGCAGCAACGCCGCGUGAGGGAUGACGGCCUUCGGGUUGUAAACCUCUUUUAGUAGGGAAGAAGCGAAAGUGACGGUACCUGCAGAAAAAGCACCGGCUAACUACGUGCCAGCCGCCGCCGUAA